rnacentral:rRNA from 1 species
UACGUAGGGGGCAAGCGUUGUCCGGAUUUAUUGGGCGUAAAGCGCGUGUAGGCGGCCAGGUAGGUCCGCUGUGAAAACCCGAGGCUCAACCUCGGGACGUCGGCGGAAACCAUCUGGCUAGAGUCCGGAAGAGGAGAGUGGAAUUCCCGGUGUAGCGGUGAAAUGCGCAGAUAUCGGGAAGAACACCCGUGGCGAAGGCGGCUCUCUGGGACGGUACUGGCGCUGAGACGCGAAAGCGUGGGGAGCGAACAGG